GCGGCUAUAGUUCAGUGGUAGAACGAGUCGUUGCCAACGACUAGGAGCGGGUUCGAUUCCCGCUAGCCGCU
rnacentral:tRNA from 1 species